rnacentral:rRNA from 1 species
UACGUAGGGGGCAAGCGUUGUCCGGAAUCAUUGGGCGUAAAGCGCGUGUAGGCGGCUGAGCAAGUCCGCUCUGAAAGCCCGAGGCUCAACCUCGGGAGGCGAGUGGAUACUGCUCAGCUCGAGUCCGGAAGAGGGAUGCGGAAUUCCAGGUGUAGCGGUGAAAUGCGUAGAGAUGUGGAGGAACACCGAUGGCGAAGGCAGCCCCCUGGGUCAAGAUUGACGCUCAUGCACGAAAGCGUGGGGAGCAAACAGG